rnacentral:rRNA from 1 species
GACGAACGCUGGCGGCGUGCUUAACACAUGCAAGUCGAACGGAAAGGCCCUGCUUUUGUGGGGUGCUCGAGUGGCGAACGGGUGAGUAACACGUGAGUAACCUGCCCUUGACUUUGGGAUAACUUCAGGAAACUGGGGCUAAUACCGGAUAGGAGCUCCUGCUGCAUGGUGGGGGUUGGAAAGUUUCGGCGGUUGGGGAUGGACUCGCGGCUUAUCAGCUUGUUGGUGGGGUAGUGGCUUACCAAGGCUUUGACGGGUAGCCGGCCUGAGAGGGUGACCGGCCACAUUGGGACUGCGAUACGGCCCAGACUCCUACGGGAGGCAGCAGGGGGGAAUAUUGCACAAUGGGCGGAAGCCUGAUGCAGCAACGCCGCGUGCGGGAUGACGGCCUUCGGGUUGUAAACCGCUUUCGCCUGUGACGAAGCGUGAGUGACGGUAAUGGGUAAAGAAGCACCGGCUAACUACGUG